GAGGAUGUAGGCGUGUUUUCACGAGUGUGUAUAUAUGAGUGUGUAGGUGUGUAUUCGUGAGGAUGUAGGUGUGUUUUCAUGAGUGUGUAUAUAUGAGUGUGUAGGUGUGUAUUCGUGAAGAUGUAGGUGUGUUUUCGUGAGUGUGUAGGUGUGUAAUUGUGAGGAUGUAGGUGUGUUUUCGCAAGUGUGUAUAUACGAGUGUGUAGGUGUGUAUUCGUGAGGAUGUAGGCGUGUUUUCACGAGUGUGUAUAUAUGAGUGUGUAGGUGUGUAUUCGUGAGGAUGUAGGUGUGUUUUCGUGAGUGUGUAUAUAUGAGUGCGUAGGUGUGUAUUCGUGAGGAUGUAGGUGUGUUUUCGUGAGUGUGUAUAUAUGAGUGCGUAGGUGUGUAUUUGUGAGGAUGUAGGUGUGUUUUCGUGAGUGUGUAUAUAUGAGUGCGUAGUUGUGUAAUUGUGAGGAUGUAGGUGUGUUUUCGCAAGUGUGUAUAUACGAGUGUGUAGGUGUGUAUUCGUGAGGAUGUAGGCGUGUUUUCACGAGUGUGUAUAUAUGAGUGUGUAGGUGUGUAUUCGUGAGGAUGUAGGUGUGUUUUCGUGAGUGUGUAUAUACGAGUGUGUAGGUGUGUAUUCGUGAGGAUGUAGGUGUGUUUUCGUGAGUGUGUAUAUAUGAGUGUGUAGGUGUGUAAUUGUGAGGAUGUAGGUGUGUUUUCGUGAGUGUGUAUAUAUGAGUGUGUAGGUGUGUUUUCGUGAGUGUGUAUAUAUGAGUGUGUAGGUGUGUAAUUGUGAGGAUGUAGGUGUGUUUUCGUGAGUGUGUAUAUAUGAGUGUGUAGGUGUGUUUUCGUGAGUGUGUAUAUAUGAGUGUGUAGGUGUGUAAUUGUGAGGAUGUAGGUGUGUUUUCGUGAGUGUGUCUAUAUGAGUGUGUAGGUGUGUAGACGUGCAG